AGAGUUUGAUCAUGCUCAGACGAACGCUGCGCGCGCUUAACACAUGCAAGUCGAGCGAGAACCAGUCUUCGGCCCCGGGACAGCGGCGAACGGUGAGUAACACGUGAGUAAUCUGCCCUCGAUUCCGGGAUAGCCCGCGGAAACCCGGAUUAAUACCGGGAUAGCCUGACUGCUCCUCGAGCCAGCGAGAAAAGGUAGCUUCGGCCUCCGAUCGAGGACGAGCUCGCGGCGGAUUAGCUUGUUGGUGGGGUAAUGGCCCACCAAGGCGACGACCUGUAGCUGGUCUGAGAGGACGAUCAGCCACACUGGGACUGAGACACGGCCCAGACUCCUACGGGAGGCAGCAGUGGGGAAUCUUGCGCAAUGGGCGAAAGCCUGACGCAGCGACGCCGCGUGGGGGAAGAAGGCCUUCGGGUUGUAAACCUCUUUCAGCAGGGACGAGGCCACUCGGGUGAAUAGCCCAGAGGGUGACGGUACCUCCAGAAGAAGCCCCGGCUAACUACGUGCCAGCAGCCGCGGUAAUACGUAGGGGGCAAGCGUUGUCCGGAUUUAUUGGGCGUAAAGAGCGUGUAGGCGGCCAGACAGGUCCGUUGUGAAAACUGGAGGCUUAACCUCCAGACGUCGAUGGAAACCGUAUGGCUAGAGUCCGGAAGAGGAGAAUGGAAUUCCUGGUGUAGCGGUGAAAUGCGCAGAUAUCAGGAAGAACACCCGUGGCUAAGGCGGUUCUCUGGUACGGUACUGACGCUGAGACGCGAAAGCGUGGGGAGCGAACAGGAUUAGAUACCCUGGUAGUCCACGCCGUAAACGAUGGGUGCUAGGUGUGGGGGGUGUCGACUCCCUCCGUGCCGCAGCUAACGCAUUAAGCACCCCGCCUGGGGAGUACGGCCGCAAGGCUAAAACUCAAAUGAAUUGACGGGG
rnacentral:rRNA from 1 species